GUGGGGAAUAUUGGACAAUGGGCGAAAGCCUGAUCAAGCCAUGCCGCGUGUGUGAAGAAGGUCUUCGGAUUGUAAAGCACUUUAAGUUGGGAGGAAGGGUUGUACGUUAAUACCGUGCAAUUUUGACGUUACCGACAGAAUAAGCACCGGCUAACUUCGUGCCAGCAGCCGCGGUAAUACGAAGGGUGCAAGCGUUAAUCGGAAUUACUGGGCGUAAAGCGCGCGUAGGUGGUUCAGUAAGUUGGAAGUGAAAUCCCCGGGCUCAACCUGGGAACUGCCUCCAAAACUGCAUGACUAGAGUACGGUAGAGGGUAGUGGAAUUUCCUGUGUAGCGGUGAAAUGCGUAGAUAUAGGAAGGAACACCAGUGGCGAAGGCGACUACCUGGACUGAUACUGACACUGAGGUGCGAAAGCGUGGGGAGCAAACAGGAUUAGAAACCCGUGUAGUCC
rnacentral:rRNA from 1 species